rnacentral:lncRNA from 1 species
GUGGUUGUUCCUUUAACAGUGAAUUGUGUUUUAUUUUAGAAAUGUAAUCCAUCAUUGUAUGGAGUCAUUCUGGGGAUAGUGAAUGACCCAAAAUAUUGGAUACUCACAGUAAGUUAAACUAUAUCUUACCCUAUAUAUUCAUAUUUUAACGGCAACAACGGCUCCAAGAUAAAAAGAUGUCUACAGACCACAAGGUAACAGUUGUGUUCUAUGGCCUGACCCCGGCAGGCGGAAUGCUGUUAUUUAAUUUAACCAUUGGAGUAUGGGUGAAACAGGUGAAGGGAAUGACCUUGACUGAUGGGAGGAUGCUGUGCAGGUGUGUGAGAGCUGUGGUACUGUCCGUGGUGGUGCAUGAGUGCAGCUCGUGCUCUGGUGACUGGGAUCUGUGGUGCUUUCCAUUGUGCUGGACUGGAUGAUUCAGGAUUGCAUAAUAAUUUCCUGCUUUUUGUCUACUUCUCAGAGCAUUCAUGAGAGCAAGGAGCUGAAUGGUGUCCAGGUGGAAAGCAAACACUGUGCCACAUAGCUUACAGCAGGAUUUCACUUCAUGUGGAAUAUUUGCCAUCAAAGUAAGUUAUUGAAUUGCAUAUUUCUUUAUGGAAACAUGAAGCAGAUUUUGAAAAGGUCUAUUUUUUCAACAUUUAAACUCCUAGAGAGACAUACAGUUGAUGAAUAUUGAUUAAGUUAAACUGGGCCAGUAUGUUUUGAAUAUUCAUUUAUUCUAACAUGUUCUUAGUAUGCUGAGAAAGUCCUGGCAGAGGAGUCUACUACUUUCCCAAACUCUGAAGCGGCAGUGGUUAACUACAGAUGAGGAAAAUUCUGUAACACUUCUCAAUGAGGCUGAUGAUCUCAGUGAGCUGUGCCACUGCUGUGGAGAGGGAGAAGAAGCGCGAGGAGGAGGGUCUCAAGACAGACCUGAGGCCACUGACUGGAUCUAGUGUGUCACCUGUGGACGGUGGUACCACGAGGGUUGUGUUGGGAGGCCCGACAGAGAUCAUUUGUACAGCUGUCCUGCAUGCCCCCAGGCUCAAAUGUUCUAGUGACGUUUCUCAAGUUUUCCUGGUUCCAAUAAACGUCACUGGCGACUGACUGUGUUAAGUGUUAAUAUAUGUGUCAAGUGUUAAUAUAUGAUUACGGCCUUACUUUGAAGGGACAACGUGAUGACGUUACUACGUUCUUGUGAAGCAACGCGCGGGUCAACUGUCCCGUUGUUCUUUUGUUGUUGUUGGAACUGACUGGACAGUAUUCAGUCAUGUAUUCUAGAGAAUAAAUACGCCAAAGGCUAAAGAAAACAUGUCGAUCUGCUUAUUCUUCACCACACCAGAGAAGAGGAGUCACCGCUCCAUCGAAGC